UACGUAGGGGGCGAGCGUUGUUCGGAAUUAUUGGGCGUAAAGCGCACGUAGGCGGCCUUGUAAGUCUCACUGUGAAAGUCCGGGGCUCAACCCCGGGAUGCCAGGGGAUACUGCGAGGCUGGAGACAAGCAGAGGUUGGUAGAAUUCCGGGUGUAGCGGUGGAAUGCGUAGAGAUCCGGAGGAACACCGGUGGCGAAGGCGGCAUCCUGGACCGAUACUGACGCCGAGGAGCGAAAGCCAGGGGAGCAAACGGG
rnacentral:rRNA from 1 species